AUCAGUGUGUUGCACUGCUGGCACGUCCGUCACGUCGCGUUACGUAAACGUUACGUUACACGCGCAUUCAGUUCAAAUUCAACAACACUUGUAAACAGUGAUGAACUAUUAAUACAUGUGUUGGUUUUAGUUUUAGAAAAAAUUUAGAAAAGCCAACUACGUUUGAAAUAUCAUAACUUUUUUCACGAAUACAGGUGCAGUUCCCCUGUAGACACACGUGGGGGUGCUGUUCUGUCUUGUUGAUGGAGCAUUGAGCGACGAGAAGAAGACUGACGUACCGGCUUUAAAAAAAAGGCGCGGGCGCGGAUCAGAGACGGGUGACUAGUUGUUGAUGCAAUGACACCGAUGGAAGAACUUUUAAAACAUAUUAGGCGUUCAAAUACACACAAGAGCUGAAGGAAAAUUGUGAAAUGGACGCAGAAACGUGGUAUCCUGACGACGACGAUGAAGUGCGCAAAAUGCAACCGUCGCAUGCGUCUGGUGAAAUGCCAUGUCAAGGAUGGGCUGUGGUGGGUCUGUAAGCAUCAUAAAAGUUUCCCAAAGUCUGUACGUAAUGGCUCAAUAUUCACCAAGUCUCACAUCCCUCUGGCUUGAGUUCAUGCACAGAUUUGCCCAAGGUUUGCAGUUGAAGCAACUUGCACAAGGUGUGCAUUGCUGCUGUCAAGCGACUGAGGAAAAGAUGAGGAUUGGUGGUCGUCAUCGAUUUGUUGUUAUUGACAAGAGCAAAUUUGCCCACAAACGAAAGGCAGUGAGAGGACAGGCAAUGAUGCAGAGAGCACAGGGAGAGGAGAAACACCAGGUCCAAUAGAGAGAGGAGAAGAACAGAGGAAAACAUUCUGGGGUUCAUGGCUCCUCUGUGCAAAGCAGGACCUGACUUGGAGGACAAGGAGGCCCUCUGGGCACUACUGUAAAAAGGAGACUCCAUAUGUAGAUAGUUCUUAAUGUGCAAUUGUCUUGUUGUGUUGACAUACUUUUCUUCACUGUUUUCUUAGAUUUAAUAAACUACUAACAC
ensembl:lncRNA